CAAGGGGACGUAUGGCCCAAGGGAAUAGAAUUGAUAAUAUUUUUAAACCGAGAAAAUAUAUUUGCAUACGCGAACAAUAGUGAUAAAGAGAGUGACGCAAGUUGCCGAGCGAGGAGCCUGCUUCUUUCAUGUGAAAAACAUCUACAGAUCGCACGGUGAGCUAUCUAUGCAGCUAUCUCAGCGGAAAGUGGGACGACGGUGUGUCCAGCUCUUUUCUCACGAGGUUUUAUCACUUUACUCUCCGUCCAGGAUUGGCAAUAAGCGUCGUAGUGAAAAGCGUUUAAUGGUCAUUCUUCAGCAGCACCAACAACAAUCGGAUAACGUACGAUUAUAUGCAAAUCCACAUAUGGUCCAUCGUUUUAUAAUUUUUACGUUCAGUUAUUUUUACGUUAAGCUAUUCUUUGCGAAAACAGCGUGUGCAAGAAAAAUUUCUGCAACGACAAGUUUUAGUUGACAGUUGACGACAAGUUGCAGUUAUAUACAUGAUGUUCUGUGAUCCAAGAUACAAUAAUUUCUAGUAAGUCAUUUUCGGAAUCGGCCGAUUUUCUUACAAUGAGACAGCAGGCUUAUUGAAAACAAAUUAUGAUUGCUGCCAAAUAUCAGCUAAAUGAUUAGAACGUCGGCGCGAACACGCGAUCAAUUCGGAAGAAGCUGUCUGCUAAAGUUCCGGGAGAUCGUAUUGUUUCCGGUUGAUGAGACCGUUAGAAGUGCAUCUGCCAGAAACUAAUUGAAGAUCGGAGAAUGUGUACUCGUGAGGAAGAAAAAGAGAGAGAGAGAGAGAGAGAGAGAGGCGAAGAUGAGAAGAAAGAAUUGUCGGAGUCCUCGCAAUGAGGGAAGACAAAAGAGGAGUCUAGGGGAAUGGCGGACAGGAGGGGACAGAAGGAGAGCCCCCGGAGAAGUCGUCGUUGUCGUCGUAAGGAGGGAGAGCGGGAAGAAAAAAAAAAAGGAGGAGAAUAUGAGGAUGAUGCGGAGGAGAGAAAGAAAGAGAAGGAAAGAGAGAGAGAGAGAGAUAGCGCAUCUUGCCAAGAAUAUCCAAGGGCCGAUGACCUGUGACACGCAGUCGUAUAUAUACUUAAUAUGAUCGCUCAAUGUCUAACUUGUGCAUAGAUAUGCCCGGCGUUACGUAUGUCAUAUAUAUGUAUAUGCGCGCGUGUGUUUCAUACGCAAAAUCUCGAAUUAUCGCUCGGCAAUUAGUCUUUUUUCAUGUUAUACAUAUAUUUUCGUGUGCCCAUGGGCAAAAUACAAUUGUGAUUUUUCAUCAUUCCAAUGUUCAUGCUCAAAAAUACCGUCUGUGUAAUAAAAUGUAUUUAAAUGUCUAUUAAAUGUUGAAGAAACUUCAGGCAUAAUUGUUUAUGUUAAUUUCUUUUUAUUUAAAUCUAUUUUCUCUCUCUCUCUCUCUCUCUCUCUCAAGUUGCCGAAUUUUAUCUGCAGAAAUAGAUUUCACUUUCUUGAUUACCCAUAUGUAUAUAUUAAAAUAAAAAAAAAAAAAUUACUAAAUAUAUAAUAAAACUUACUAAAAAAAUAAAAUAUCAAAACAUUGCGAUAAAAGUGAUAAUAUGCGAUUUCCAAAUAGCGAUCGCUCCUCGCGAAAGAUUUAAUUAAGCAUUGUGCUUAAGCCGCGAGGCGUCGCUGAGCAAACUCGACAGGUCGUCGGCGUCAACGGCGUCGGCGUCGAGAACCGUCGCGCGGGUCGUCGCACGGAAAGUCGAUCGGCCUCCUUGACGAGGGACGGUUUCACCGCACGGAAAAAAUUCUCUCUCUCUCUCUCUCUGUCUGUCUCUCUUUCUUCGUUCAAGUCCCCCUUUCGAGAGUCGACCUAACGAGAGUCUGUCCAACCGUUUGCAAUCCUCAGCGGCGUGGUUUCUGCGGUCCUGAAAGCAGAAUUGUCGAACGAGCAGAGCCACCACCUCCUCCUAUAUACGACUGUCGUAAAUCGCGCGCACGCGAAGUAUUAAAAGAUCUUUUGUAACGGUAUUUAAUCCCUAACCGUAAUUUACGACGCUGCAACGGUGCUCGAUCAUUUCGGUGGCUCUUUUCCUUCUUUCUGGUUUGUGUAUCCCGAAGUUGACCUUAAUUAAGCGCACCUAAAAAUUGAAGCACUUUACAUAUUAUAUUUCGGUAAAUCGGCUCCAUUUGAAUAACACGCUGUAGAUGCGAUUGACGAAGCGUUAUCGGUAUAAUGAUUCAGAUAAUCGUUACAAUGUUUGAAAAGAUGAAGAUUCUCCGGAGAAUAUAUAUCUCUAACGUUGAAAGCAAUUAAUCAAUCAUUCAACUGUUAAGAAAUCAUGUGCAAUAAUAAAUGUGAGAUCAAGUUACAUAGUCUCUCUUUCCACAAACAUUACUGAUUUAAUGUUUAUUACACUGAGAGCUGCUCUUUUUAAAUCGUCGCUCUCUAUUAUCUGCGUGAUAAUAUAUUUAAAACAGUCCGAUUAUAUAUGAACUUUCAAAACAGUUUUAUUCUUAAAAGAAAUAAAGAUUGUCCAAUGCUCAAUAUUUCUAUAUCAAGUGUCCAAAAAUUUAUUUCCAGUAACAAGGAAACAAUUAAU